rfam:Oesophagostomum dentatum strain OD-Hann O_dentatum-1.0_Cont12755.1, whole genome shotgun sequence.
CCAACGGCCCUCUUUAGGGCCACAAGCACAGUAAUUCGAAUACUG